CCUACGGGAGGCAGCAGUGGGGAAUAUUGCACAAUGGGCGAAAGCCUGAUGCAGCAACGCCGCGUGAAGGAAGAAGGGUUUCGGCUCGUAAACUUCUAUUAACAGGGAAGAAAGAAAUGACGGUACCUGUAUAAGAAGACCCGGCUAACUACGUGCCAUCAGCCGCGGUAAUACGUAGGCGGCAAUCGUUAUCCGGCAUUACUGGGUGUAAAGGGUGCGUAGGCGGCAUUGGAAGCCAGAUGGGAAAGCCUUGGGCUUAACCCGAGGAUUGCAUUUGGAACUAUCAAGCUAGAGUACAGGGGAGGAAGGCGGAAUGCCUGGUGUAGCGGUGAAAUGCGUAGAUAUUAGGAAGAACACCAGUGGCGAAGGCGGCUUUCUGGACUGAAACUGACGCUGAGGCACGAAAGCGUGGGGAGCGAACAGGAUUAGAUACCCCAGUAGUC
rnacentral:rRNA from 1 species